rnacentral:lncRNA from 1 species
UAAACAUGACAAAAAUAUAAUUAUACAAAUUUCCCCAAACGAAAAGAGAAAAGAUACUUGCAUCGACAAUGGCACCACCUGCCUCCCUUAGCGUGGGUGAAAUGUCCAGUAAAUCACGCCUAAACAUAAUAAUCACUCACUUGAUCAGCAACUUCAUUCAAAUAAUAAAUCCCUUUUAUUGUUAAACUGUCUAAAAGUUUCAUCAAUGGGUAUUCUGUUACCAUUACACCAUGCUUCUUCAGUUCUUCCAAGUAAUCAACUUCAAUGGGUUGCAAUCCGUAUCAAACCAUAUGAUAUUCAACCCAAUACCAAUUAGAAGAUUGAUCAGAGAAGAAAAAUAGAAUAGACCAAGAAAAGGAUCGGUCUUUCCUUCCUCAGAUUC